GCGAAAGGCGGGUGGCGUGGUGUACAAGGCCGUGGGUGGGCACGAGGUGGGGGGAACUCCUCGGAGUCACCAAACCUGGAAUGGUUUGGGAUGGGAGGGACCUUAGAAACCAGCUGGUGCCAGCCCCCGCCAUGGGCAGUGGCACCUCCCGUUGCGAUUUGUGAGGCACAGUAUGCUUGUAAUUGUAGCUGAAGUGAGCAACGCGAGGUCAUGUCAGACAGCAGGAGAGACAUUCAGAUACUAUCAGCCAUUGUUUUCUUAUUAUAAGCCACCACUUGAAGUGCUUGAGACAAAACAGGCAGAGAACUUCUCAAAGAUUCUAUAAAUAUUAUCCCACACUUGAAGAACUAUUAAAAACUUGGAAUCUAGCAAACAGGAAUGUAAAUUAUGACUUGCAUUUAGGAUGGAAUUUCUAGAGUUUAUAAUGGUUUGGUGCACAGCCCAGAAGUAACCAUCAAAACCUGCCCAAUCAAGAAUCACCCAUUUCUCUGAGAGAUGAGUGAGCAAGCAACUGUGUGGGUGUUUGGCUGUUGGCUGGGGUCAACCCACUUCAUAUAUACACGAAGGAUUAAACUUCUCCUACAGACACCUUGUGAAAAAUGGCGGCUUCAUCAGUCUUCUUAGUUUUACCUUCAUUAGAAAUGGUGAGAAAGGUGAUGAGCUACAAAUGAAGCUGGUGGACUUAGUGGUAAACUACCAACUUGUCUUGGACUCCCUCCAACACCAAUGUUCAAACUGUUGUUUAUCAAGAUAUUUUCUGUUGAAGAAUAUGAGGGGGCUUAUAAAAUGUAUUGAGACUGAAUGACCAUGAAGUGAACAGCUGAAAUAAAUGCUGUUCUCUUUAUUUCCAUUUCUUUUUAUUGUAUUAUACAUAGGCUUGAUCCAUGAGUUGGGAAGAGUUCUGAAUUUUCUGUCAAGCUCGAGUGUUGGUCUCAGUGAGGGAAAUGUUAUGAAACAAUGUUAUGUAUUGGAGAUGGACUUUAAAGCAAAGUUCCAUCAAAUAAACUGAUAAAUCAUCCACCUCCUCAGGCUGCUUGCACCUCUCCCUUUUUUUCUUUAUUCUGUUAUGCUUUUGCAACAAUCCUGUCCUUCUGUUUUAAUCUAUUUAAAAUUGCUUUUUCGUUAGUC